rnacentral:rRNA from 1 species
GACGAACGCUGGCGGCGUGCUUAACACAUGCAAGUCGAACGAAGUGGCGAACGGGUGAGUAACGCGUAAUCAACCUGCCCUUCAGAGGGGGACAACAGUUGGAAACGACUGCUAAUACCGCAUACUGAAGGAGGGGAUUGCGUCUGAUUAGCUAGUUGGGGGGGUAACGGCCCACCAAGGCGAUGAUCAGUAGCCGUGCUGAGAGGCUGGACCGCCACAUUUGGACGUGGGAACUGCCCAAGCUCCUACGGGAGGGAGCAGUGUGGAAUCUUCCGCAAUGGACUGAAGUCUGACGGAGCAACGCCGCGGGAGGGGUGACGGCCUUCGGGUUGUAAAGCUCUGUUAAUCGGGACGCGGUACCGGAAUAGAAAGCCACGGCUAACUACGUGCCAGCAGCCGCGGUAAUUC